GGGACUGUCGCCUAACGGUUAAACCACUGCUUAUAACGGUGUGACCUGGGUUCAACUCCCAGCAGUCCUACC
rnacentral:tRNA from 1 species